rnacentral:piRNA from 1 species
UGGGGUUCACCCUGACGUGGUUCAGCAGA